rnacentral:lncRNA from 1 species
CUCCUUUUGGAGUGCUUUAGGGGCGUGGAUUAUCAUUUAUUUUUUAUUAAUUAAUUAAACAUUUCCUCGUUCCCCGUUUCACACCAAAGUUGGGUGAUACUAUUUACGCUCGCCCGUGGGUGAAGGCUGUAAGCUGAUGGGAGUCUGUGUAGUAUGAAGCGGAAAUACAAGUUAGAGCAGGCAAGGAAAUGUUUUUUUUUGUUUAAUUUUGUUUCCACUCCUACUUCCCUCAGAUUGAACUUUUUUUUCUUUUCUUUCUUUCUUUUUUCUUUGUGCUAGGUAUUGAACCCAGGCCCUUGUGCAUGCCAGGCAAGCACUCUACCAACUGAGCUGUACCCCCAGUCCAAGAUUGAACUUUUUUAAAGUGAAGGAAUUAGCAAAAUUUUUGGCAGUUG